AAGUGAAUUGAAGCUCAUUUAAUUCAAGGUGGGGUGUUGAGACUUUGCAAUGUAUCUCUCCUAGUCUGUGGGUAAGAUGGCGUAUUGUCCGUCAUUCUGGCCAGUCAGUGACAGGUGCCCUCUCCCCUAUGUAGACAGAGAACUUAGGAACUCAGGACUCUGGUGCCCACCCUCUGGGCUGACUUAGCCUUUCCUUACCAGCUAGUCAUUAUAAGAACUUCUGUUUACAGCAUGCAGGCAGAGUUUUAGAUGUUAUCUCACAAAGUAGUAUUUAACCACUGGGAAGAGGAAGUCACAGUAUGUCUAUUUUGGAUGGGGUGGGGGUAAUCAGACGGGUGGUCUAACUGGGUUUAGAUCACAGAGCGCAACCAUAGAAGAACUUGGAUUUCCUCUGUGAUCUCUAGACCCAGGAACCUUUGCCCUAGAUUAUGACCUCACUCGGAGUCUGCUCCAUCCUGUUCCUCCCGUGUUGGCAGUGCAAAGGUCAUGCUGGUGUAGGAACAGAGAGUGAUGGUCUAGCCACAGCUGCUGAGUUGGCCCAUGUCCCCUCACAUCUAAAGCGGGAAGAGUAGGAUAAGGGAUUUGUAAAAAGGACACUUACGCUUGGCUAGAACUCUUCUCAAGAUGGUCUGCAGCUCAAAGGCAGAGAUCUCCGCAUCCUGUGGACGUAUGACCAGAACAUCAUUAUGGGCUUCCCGGUAGGCGUUGGGCGAACCACUGUGAACACCUUAAGUGAUGGAAGUCUCCGCCAGGAGAUCACUUUUCUUUUGAGUCAGCAGGACCUUGAUGACACCUACCUCUCCAGCCAGCUGAGCAAACAGCCUUCUGAAUCCAUCUCCAAUGUCCUCCUCAUUGGCUUCAAUCUAGAAGCGAGAGCACCAGCACCUGAGACCUCCACUUCAGAGGGCUGACAUCCUGGGUGGACCUGGCACAACUUCGGGCCAUCUGAGUGAGGCCCAGCUAGGAUUAGAACUGGGAAACCAUUCUUACCAGCCGCAUGAUUUAUUCUGGAUAGGUUGGUGCCUCUUUCAGAUUCGCCCAACUCAGAGCAGUGUUGGGAGACCCGGAUCUUCGAGAUGUGACCUGAGACUCUGCAGAGCGCUCACGCCACCUGUAAGCCCCAAGAGCAGUAGACGGUUUCUCGCCAAGACACCUGCGCUACAACUGUAUCAACCAUGGCCUCUUCCCUCAGCCCCACCCAUUUCUGACUUAUCCCCCACCAAGGUCAGAAUCCACCUCCUCUGUAGCAUUUAUGGAAAUCUGUCCCUUCUGGAUAAUCACGAGGACCUGUUCGUGGGCAGGUAGCCUAGUUGGAGAUGUCCCCGGGGUUCCCCGCUAAGCAAAACUUGCUUGGGGCAGUUACAGGCUGGGCUGGUAAUAAGUCAGCCAGCUAGUUUGGGAGGGUCUGAUAAGUGGAUUAACUACCACGAAGGGAUUCAGCUAGUCUGUUUUAGCGCCAGCCCUAAAGGGUGCCUGUAGGGUCCAGGGCGGAGGCCCUGGAAUGUGGUCACGUGGGUGCGGCUUGAGAAAAGAAAUGUACAGGUUUUAACCGGCAGCGGUAAGAGAUUCAAGACUAGAAGGCUCUGCUCCCCAGUGGCACACUUUUGGCUCUGCUUGCCAGUCACAACAGGACGACGCUGUUGGGAGGGACCACUCAGACCUUGGCCCACGCCGUGGGGAGGAGGGGAGAGGACUGUCUCUCCUGGUAGUCAUCACUGUUGUUACACAGGUACAAAGGUUCUUUGUGCAUCAUCUUCUGUGGACUCUUUUUGGGUCCCCAAAUUACUCUAUUUACCUCAAGCAGAAACACUUGUCCCCAGAGCCUGAUGCUGGACUAUGGCUGGCUGCGGUUAGGAGCCUGGCAACCUUUUGCUUGCCUCUGUGUUUAGUUUGUAGCCUCCAGCCUGGUUUCUGCUUAGAAGCCCCCUGACCAGCAGACGCUAUGGCUGCUGGUGUGGUUUAGCCAGUGGGGGACCUGUAGACCAAUGGUCAGGGCACGUUUUCCCUGCUUCCUCUGAUGGUGGCUCUCUCUUGGUAGGUAGCAUUGUACAAGUCCCACUUCAGGUUCUAGAAUUCUGUCAAUUGCCCCCAACCUGCAGAACGAGACGAAGAAAAGAGCCCCCGGCAGCUGCUGACCUGUAUUAAUAAAGUUGCACAGGCCCCAGCCUGUGGGGCUGAGGCAAUUGUCUACCCUGUGUUUUUUAAAGUAGUCCAUAUUCUCAGCUACAAAGAUUUAUUAUCAUAAAAACGUCUUUUCCUCUUAAAUUGGCCUAUAAAUGUGAUCUCAAUAAAAAUAGCAAUAAAAAUCGGAA